AUCCAUUGAAGGACUUUGAAGAGUUUCAAAUGGAAAGGGCCAGGACAAUUUAGCCACUACCAGGUGAAGACGCCAGGAGAACUUAUGCAAUGAAUUGUGCAUGAAUGAAAAUCAGCUUUUAUUCUUUUUUAAAUUUCAACUUUUAUUAUAUAUUAAAGGGUACAUGUCAUGCAGGUUUGUUACAUGGGUAAAUUGUGUGACACUGAGGCUUGGGAUCCCAACAAUCCCAUCACCCAUGACAUAAGCAUAGUGCGCAUCUGGUGGUUACUCAGCCCGUGCCCCACUCCCUGCCUCCCCUGUCUAGUGAUCCCCAGUGUCUAUCGUUCCCCUCUUUACACUCAUGUGUACUUAAUGUUUGUCUCCCACUCAUAAGUGAGAGCCAACAUGCAGUAUUUGGUAUUCUGUUCCUGUGUAAGGUCACUUAAGAUAAUGGCCUCCAGUUCCACCCACAUUGCUGCUAAAGGCAUGAUUUCAUUUUUUGAUGCCUGCAUAGUAUUCCAUGGUGUAUAUGUAUGAUAUUUUCUUUAUCCAAUCCACUGUUGACAGGCA
rnacentral:lncRNA from 10 species